rnacentral:rRNA from 1 species
UCUUCGGGAUAGGUAGUAGUUAAGGUGAUGGCUUAACUAGCUUAAAAUUCUCGUAGUCGAAGCUGAAAGGUUGAUCGACCACAUUGGGUCUGAAAAAACCCCAAUGCAAGUUAGUACAGCAGUGAGGAAUCUUGGUCAAUGGCCUAACGGCUGAACUGGCAACUUGGAGAAGUGGCAAGUCUUAUUUUUGAUUAUAAUUUUAGAUAAUCUAUAAGAUUGUAUUAAAAUUGAAUAAAACUUUGUUUAUAUAUUGAUAAUGACAAUAUAUAUAUCGUGUCUUGACUAAUUACGUGCCAGCAGUCGCGGUAAUACGUAAGAGACUAGUGUUAUUCAUCUUAAUUAGGUUUAAAGGGUACCUAGACGGUCAAUAUAGCUUCUAGAAUGUUAGUACUUGACUAGAGUUUGAUGUAAGGGGGCAGUACUUGAGGAGGAGAGAUGAAAUUCUAUUAUACCAAAGGGACUCGGUAAAGGCGAAGGCAGCCCUUUAUGUAAAAACUGACGUUGAAGGACGAAGGCACAGAGCACAAACAGGAUUAGAUACCCAAGU